UUAUUCUCUAACUCUUAAAACAUUUGCUUCACACUCUUGCUAAGUUGAGCGUCGGAGCACUUGCAUGUACAGAACCCUCCUCUCAUUCAUGGAGUUGAGGAGCAUCAUCAUCAGGCAAGAUCUUCUCUAACCAAAGAAACAAAUCAAACUACCAAAAAAAAUAUCUAGUUAAUCAAAUAAAUGAAAACAUAAACCCCUUAUUAAAUUCAAGAAGUAAAAAUCUUUAAUUUAAACCUAUUAUAUACAAUUUUUUAUGUUAAAAAUAAAAACUCUUAAAAUAACAAAUGACCAAAGAAAACUAAAAUAAUUAAUGACGAAAAAAAAUAAAAACAUGUUAAUGAUUAAUAUUUGUCAAUAUUUUUUAUUUACAUUGAUGGUGCACAACAAUUAAACUCAU
rnacentral:lncRNA from 1 species